rnacentral:tRNA from 1 species
AAGAAUUUAGUUAAAAUUAUAACAUUAGAUUGUCAUUCUUAAAUUAUUAAAAAUAAUAAUUCUUA